GAAGAACACAAAGACGGCGCCCAGCCCUCCCUGGCCCUGGAGAGUGUCCAAGCCGGCUCGGAGAUGCUUGCCUCUCAGGCCGAUUCUUUAAGAGAAGCAGAACCAACAAUUUUUUCCCCAGAGAGUGCCUUCCUCAAUGUAUUUCACUACCCUUGAGAAGCCAGUUUGUACCAGAAAGGAAGGAAGGAAGGAAGGAAGGAUGUCUUAAUGUAGCCGUUUAUCUCCUGGACCAGAGAUGUGCUUCCUCCCAGCCCAAACAGAUGCCGUGGGAGGCCUGGUACAGCGACCUGGGCUGGGCUGAC